rnacentral:lncRNA from 1 species
UGAUUUUGAAAAUUUCUCUUUUGAACUGGUGCUUUUUUUAAAAAAUUGGUUCUGUUCUUAAGUAUGCUAUUACAUUCGAUUAAUCAUAUCUCAAGGAUGUGUUAAGGAAAUGUUGUUUGCAAGGAAAUAAAUGUUUCCAAAAACUUGUAUGUUACACAUAUAAUGCACUUUUGGAAAAGGUUCAAAGUGUAAAAUUGUCUGUUCACAUCACCUCUGUACACUGUAAGAACUGAUAGACCACCACUCCUUGGGAUGACUUAGUACAAACAGAUAAAAUGUUAACUGGUGUACUAACUGUCAGUAUUACAAACAACAAAAAAUGUCAAAUCAAACAAUAGUACCAUUUUCACUCAGUGACAGUGCGAUUUUUGUUUUCUUUAAAAAAAAAAAAAG